UGCCUAAGUAAGAAAAGAAACAUGUCAAGUUUUUUUGUCACCUGAAAUGAAACUUUUGGACAGCAUUUACAGAGUGUUGUGAACUGUUUACAUGACAUUGGGGCUGGAAAGAGAAAAUACUACGCAGUGAAUUACCUACGAAGCCAUCUUUAAACCAGACAUUGGGGCUGGAAAGAGAAAAUACUACGCAGUGAAUUACCUACGAAGCCAUCUUUAAACUGGACAUUGGGGCUGGAAAGAGAAAAUACUACGCAGUGAAUUACCUACGAAGCCAUCUUUAAACUGAUCAUGGUCAAAGUAAUGGAGAUGUACCAGCCGAGUGCAGUUGUUCUUCAGUGUGGAGCCAGACUGCUUCAACCUCACUAUUCAAGAAGUGAAAGAAGAGAAGGAGAAGAUAGAGACAUCAGGGCCAAAAGAAGAGGUUUGACCAAGUUGUUCCACUUCUGAAGAUGGGACCUUUGUUGAAUCCUGUGAGCACAUGUGGUUGAUAGAAGUUGUGUUGUGGUGAGUCCACUGGAAGGUACCAACCGCCCUAACCGGGAUUCGAACUUGCCCAGGAGGUGAACCCUGGGGUUCCACACCAAUGACAGAGACAUUGCCUCUGGGCCAAAGCGCCACCGUCCAUCUUUACCUGAAGGGUUAAUCCUUGUAACACUUGCUUAGACCGUAUGUCUUUGUGUCUGUGCGUGUGCAUGUUCCUGUACUGCAUGACUUGUACCAACUUUUCAGAUUUUUUUCAGUAUUCAUUAAUACUGAUUCUGGGACAAGAUAAAAAUCAUUGCAAGGAUAAAUGGUGUGUACACAAAUGUGAAGGACCGCACAAGGGUUAAAAGAAAGCUAAGAGUUACUGUUGUAAUUUGACAUGUAUUGUUUUUAAAUGUGUAUCUAUGGACUUUGUGAUUGAAUGCAUGUUUUGUAAAUGUGAAGUGUUUUGCUAAUAGAUCAAAAAGUUGUUGCUGUUCUGUUUGUUGUGGUUGGUUUUUAACUUGGCUUACUUUUUACUACGUAGUUCUUACACUUACAAAUAAGUAAAAAACGAAUACAUUUUAAAAAAAAAAUUUUUUUCUUUACGCUUACUCUUGACUUUGGCAAUGAGAAAUCCCAUUCAUAUUUUCUAUUUUUUGCUCAAUUUCUGGAAAUUAAUGCAGAGCACACAAUAUUCCAACAACUUUCUUUAUUCUGGAAGGUUAAAACAAUCAAAUACAGAUCACAAUGAAAGUACAAUGGCAAAAAAAAAAAGUUUUUUUUUUCUCUAAAAAAAAGUGACUGUUGGGUAUCUCUCAAUGUACAAGUGCAAAGGCCCAAACGUUUUAGUAAAAUACUCACAAGUCUAGCAAACAAGUGAUCUGCUUAAAUUAAAUAAAGUUGCUGUGUACAUCUGCAUUGCAACACAUCUGUUAACUAAAGGCCAAAACAGUGAGUGUUAAGUAUCUGUCAAUUAAAGUGAAAAGGCCAAAAAGUGACUCUUUCAGUAAAAUACUCAAUUCCUGCUAACAAUUCCAUAUUCCAUAACAAUUAAUGGAAUUACACAAUCAAAAGCUGUCUGGGUAUAUUCUCAGUCAUUUAAUCCAAAAAUAGUUACGUCGAAGGCAUCUGGACAAAGUGUUAUUUCGCCUCUUAAGGUCUUCAAAAAAAAAAAAACGACUUUGUCCAAUUGCUCUCGAUGUAACUAUUUUUGGA